CAAAGUGUCCCAAUGCCUCAAUAUGGUGCUAAAGUAAAACUGUAAAGUUAAUGGAAUAUUAUAAUCUGCAAGAUGCUCUUUUGUUUAAAAAGAAAAGCAUGUAAAAUCCAGAUUUGAAAUUCAAUAAGGAAUCCAAAGAAAAGUCUAGCUUUCAGGCCAUCUCCUAGCUAAAUGAAUAAAUGAAUAGGCAAACUAUUGCAUAAGGAAGCCUUGCUCACUACUGUCUGAAAAUAGCCUCGUCUGGAAAGGUAUGCUUUUAGACUAAGAAAGCAGAAAAAACUAAUUAGACAAGAAGCAACCGUGAACAAACAUGUUAGCAGAAUCAAUAACUGGAACUGAUCAGCUAUUUCUUUAAUUG
rnacentral:lncRNA from 1 species